AACGAACGCUGGCGGCAUGCCUAACACAUGCAAGUCGAACGAGACCUUCGGGUCUAGUGGCGCACGGGUGCGUAACGCGUGGGAACCUGCCCUUAGGUUCGGAAUAACUCCCCGAAAGGGGUGCUAAUACCGGAUAAUGUCUUCGGACCAAAGAUUUAUCGCCUUUGGAUGGGCCCGCGUUGGAUUAGCUAGUUGGUAGGGUAAAAGCCUACCAAGGCGACGAUCCAUAGCUGGUCUGAGAGGAUGACCAGCCACACUGGGACUGAGACACGGCCCAGACUCCUACGGGAGGCAGCAGUGGGGAAUAUUGGACAAUGGGCGAUAGCCUGAUCCAGCAAUGCCGCGUGAGUGAUGAAGGCCUUAGGGUUGUAAAGCUCUUUUACCCGGGAUGAUAAUGACAGUACCGGGAGAAUAAGCUCCGGCUAACUCCGUG
rnacentral:rRNA from 1 species